rnacentral:rRNA from 1 species
AACGAACGCUGGCGGCGUGGAUAAGACAUGCAAGUCGAGCGGGACAAUCAGGGUAGCAAUAUUCUGGUUGUUCAGCGGCGCAAGGGUGCGUAACACGUGGGUAAUUUGCCAUGAAGUCUGGAAUAACUUGCUGAAAGGCGAGCUAAUGCCGGAUGUGACUUCCGAGGGGCAUCUCUUGGAAUUCAAAGCUGGAACCGUAAGGUCUGGCGCUUCUUGAUAAGCCCGCGGUCUAUCAGCUAGUUGGUGAGGUAACGGCUCACCAAGGCUAAGACGGAUAGCUGGUCUGAGAGGACGACCAGCCACACUGGAACUGAGACACGGUCCAGACACCUACGGGUGGCAGCAGUCGAGAAUUUUUCACAAUGGGCGAAAGCCUGAUGGAGCGACGCCGCGUGGGGGAUGAAUGGCUUCGGCCCGUAAACCCCCUGUCAUUUGCGAACAAACCUUACCGGUUAAUACCCGGUGAGCUGAUUGUAGCGGAAGAGGAAGGGACGGCUAA